GGAUGUGGCUCAAGCGGUAGCAUGCUCGCCUGGCAUGCUUGCGUGCGGCCUGGGUUCGAUCCUCAGCACCA
rnacentral:tRNA from 1 species